CUGUGCGUCUGAUCCGCUAGUUGGUACGGUAGUGGCGUACCAAGGCGACGAUCAGUCGGGGGCGUGAGAGCGUAAUCCCCCACACGGGUACUGAGACGCGGACCCGACUCCUACGGGACGCAUCAGUACGGACUAUUGUACAAUGCCCGGAAGGGUGAUCCAGCCAUUCCGCGUCGAGGAAGACGGGCUUGUCGGUUGUAAAGCUCCUUCCAGAUGGGAAGAAAUCCUGGAUAUAUAUCUGGGCUGACGGUACCAUCAGAUUAUGCCCCGGCUAACUCCGUGCCAGCAGCCGCGGUAAUACCGAGGGUGCAAGCGUUAUCCGGAAUCACUGGGUUUAGCGGGUCCGUAAGCGGUUCGAUAAGUCCGAGGUGACAUGCUACAGCUUAACUGUAGAAUUGCCUUUGAUACUGUCUAACUUGAAUCGAGAUGAGGUAGGCGUAAUGUGACAAGUAGCGGUGAACUGCAUAGAUAUCUCACAGAAGGCCGAUUGCGAAGGCAGCUUACUAGGCUUAGAUUGACGCUGAGGCACAACAGCGUGGGGAGCGAACAGGAUUAGAUACCCUGGUAGUCCACGCUGUAAACGAUGCUAACUCGUCGUGUGGAUCGUAGAUUUGCCGCGGCCAAGGGCAACCGAUAAGUUAGCCACAUGGGGAAUACGUUAGCAAGAAUGAAAC
rnacentral:rRNA from 1 species